rnacentral:rRNA from 1 species
GACGAACGCUGGCGGCGUGCCUAAUACAUGCAAGUCGAACGCUUCUUUCCUCCCGAGUGCUUGCACUCAAUUGGAAAGAGGAGUGGCGGACGGGGGAGUAGCACGUGGGUAACCUACCCAUCAGAGGGGGAUGACACUUGGAAACAGGUGCUAAUACCGCAUAACAGUUUAUGCCGCAUGGCAUAAGAGUGAAAGGCGCUUUCGGGUGUCGCUGAUGGAUGGACCCGCGGUGCAUUAGCUAGUUGGUGAGGUAACGGCUCACCAAGGCCACGAUGCAUAGCCGACCGGAGAGGGUGAUCGGCCACACUGGAACUGAGACACGGCCCAGACUCCUACGGGAGGCAGCAGUAGGGAAUCUUCGGCAAUGGACGAAAGUCUGACCGAGCAACGCCGCGUGAGUGAAGAAGGUUUUCGGAUCGUAAAACUCUGUUGUUAGAGAAGAACAAGGACGUUAGUAACUGAACGUCCCCUGACGGUAUCUAACCAGAAAGCCACGGCUAACUACGUG